rnacentral:rRNA from 1 species
AGAGUUUGAUCCUGGCUCAGGAUGAACGCUGGCGGCGUGCUUAACACAUGCAAGUCGAACGAAGCUGCUUAACUGAUCUUCUUCGGAAUUGACGUUUUGUAGACUGAGUGGCGGACGGGUGAGUAACGCGUGGGUAACCUGCCCUGUACAGGGGGAUAACAGUCAGAAAUGACUGCUAAUACCGCAUAAGACCACAGCACCGCAUGGUGCAGGGGUAAAAACUCCGGUGGUACAGGAUGGACCCGCGUCUGAUUAGCUGGUUGGUGAGGUAACGGCUCACCAAGGCGACGAUCAGUAGCCGGCUUGAGAGAGUGAACGGCCACAUUGGGACUGAGACACGGCCCAAACUCCUACGGGAGGCAGCAGUGGGGAAUAUUGCACAAUGGGGGAAACCCUGAUGCAGCGACGCCGCGUGAGUGAAGAAGUAUCUCGGUAUGUAAAGCUCUAUCAGCAGGGAAGAAAAUGACGGUACCUGACUAAGAAGCCCCGGCUAACUACGUGCCAGCAGCCGCGGUAAUACGUAGGGGGCAAGCGUUAUCCGGAUUUACUGGGUGUAAAGGGAGCGUAGACGGAGCAGCAAGUCUGAUGUGAAAACCCGGGGCUCAACCCCGGGACUGCAUUGGAAACUGUUGAUCUGGAGUGCCGGAGAGGUAAGCGGAAUUCCUAGUGUAGCGGUGAAAUGCGUAGAUAUUAGGAGGAACAUCAGUGGCGAAGGCGGCUUACUGGACUGAAACUGACACUGAGGCACGAAAGCGUGGGGAGCAAACAGGAUUAGAUACCCUGGUAGUCCACGCCGUAAACG